rnacentral:rRNA from 1 species
AGAGUUUGAUCCUGGCUCAGAAUCAACGCUGGCGGCGUGCCUAACACAUGCAAGUCGAACGCGAAAGCCCCUUCGGGGGUAAGUAGAGUGGCGUCCGGGUGAGUAACACGUGGGUAAUCUGCCUUCGGGUGGGGAAUAACCCAGGGAAACUUGGGCUAAUACCGCAUAAUGCAGCGGCACCUAAUGGUGAUUAGUUGUUAAAGCGGGGGAUCGCAAGACCUCGCGCCUGAAGAGGAGCCUGCGGCAGAUUAGCUAGUUGGUGAGGUAAUGGCUCACCAAGGCUGCGAUCUGUAGCUGGUCUGAGAGGACGGCCAGCCACACUGGCACUGACACACGGGCCAGACUCCUACGGGAGGCAGCAGUGGGGAAUUUUGGGCAAUGGGCGAAAGCCUGACCCAGCAACGCCGCGUGAGGGAGGAAAUCCUUCGGGAUGUAAACCUCACAAGCAAGGGAAGAGAGCUGCGGGCUGAAUAAUCCCGCGGUACGACGGUACCUUGCGUAAGCCACGGCUAACUACGUGCCAGCAGCCGCGGUAAUACGUAGGUGGCAAGCGUUGUUCGGAAUUAUUGGGCGUAAAGGGCGCGUAGGCGGCUUGUUAAGUCGGCUGUGAAAGCCCGGGGCUCAACCCCGGAGGGUCAGCCGAUACUGGCAAGCUAGAGUACGGAAGAGGUAGCUGGAAUUCCCGGUGUAGCGGUGAAAUGCGUAGAUAUCGGGAGGAACACCUGAGGCGAAGGCGGGCUACUGGGCCGAUACUGACGCUGAUGCGCGAAAGCCAGGGGAGCGAACGGGAUUAGAUACCCCGGUAGUCCUGGCCCUAAACGAUGGACACUUGGUGUGUCGGGUAUUCCAGUCCCGAUGUGCCGGAGCUAACGCGUUAAGUGUCCCGCCUGGGGAGUACGGUCGCAAGGCUGAAACUUAAAGGAAUUGACGG